UGGGGGAUCUUGCACAAUGGGGGAAACCCUGAUGCAGCGCCGCCGCGUGAACGAUGAAGCCCUUCGGGGUGUAAAGUUCUUUCGACAGGAACGAUAAUGACGGUACCUGGAGAAGAAGCUGCGGCUAACUACGUGCCAGCAGCCGCGGUAAUACGUAGGCAGCGAGCGAUGUUCGGAGUUACAGGGCGCAAAGAGUGCGUAGGCGGCGAGCCAAGUUGGGUGUGAAAUCUCCCGGCUUAACCGGGGGGGUGCGCCGAAAACUGGUUGGCUGGAGUAUGGGAGAGGAAAGCGGAAGUCCUGGUGUAGCGGUGAAAUGCGUAGAUAUCAGGAGGAACACCUGCGGUGUAGACAGCGUUCUGGACCAAAACUGACGCUGAGGCACGAAAGCGUGGGUAGC
rnacentral:rRNA from 1 species